rnacentral:rRNA from 1 species
GACGAACGCUGGCGGCGUGCUUAACACAUGCAAGUCGAACGGAAAGGCCCUGCUUUUGUGGGGUGCUCGAGCGGCGAACGGGUGAGUAACACGUGAGUAACCUGCCCUUGACUUUGGGAUAACUUCAGGAAACUGGGGCUAAUACCGGAUAGGAGCUCCUGCUGCAGGGUGGGGGUUGGAAAGUUUCGGAGGUUGGGGAUGGACUCGCGGCUUAUCAGCUUGUUGGUGGGGUAGUGGCUUACCAAGGCUUUGACGGGUAGCCGGCCUGAGAGGGUGACCGGCCACAUUGGGACUGAGAUACGGCCCAGACUCCUACGGGAGGCAGCAGUGGGGAAUAUUGCACAAUGGGCGGAAGCCUGAUGCAGCAACGCCGCGUGCGGGAUGACGGCCUUCGGGUUGUAAACCGCUUUCGCCUGUGACGAAGCGUGAGUGACGGUAAUGGGUAAAGAAGCACCGGCUAACUACGUG